rnacentral:rRNA from 1 species
CACGUAGGUGGCAUGGUAAGCCAAAGGUGAAAGCCCUCGGCUCAACCGAGGAACUGCCUUUGAAACUGCUUUGCUUGAGUCCGGGAGGGGGGAGCGGAAUUCCCAGUGUAGCGGUGAAAUGCGUAGAUACUGGGAGGAACACCGGUGGCGAAGGCGGCUCCCUGGACCGGUACUGACACUGAGGUGCGAAAGCGUGGGUAGCAAACA